rnacentral:rRNA from 1 species
CGCCUACGGGAGGCAGCAGUGGGGAAUCUUAGACAAUGGGCGCAAGCCUGAUCUAGCCACGCCGCGUGAGUGACGAAGGUCUUAGGAUCGUAAAGCUCUUUCGCCUGCGAAGAUAAUGACGGUAGCAGGUAAAGAAACCCCGGCUAACUCCGUGCCAGCAGCCGCGGUAAUACGGAGGGGGUUAGCGUUGUUCGGAAUUACUGGGCGUAAAGCGCACGUAGGCGGAUCAGAAAGUUGGGGGUGAAAUCCCGGGGCUCAACCCCGGAACUGCCUCCAAAACUUCUGGUCUGGAGUUCGAGAGAGGUGAGUGGAAUUCCGAGUGUAGAGGUGAAAUUCGUAGAUAUUCGGAGGAACACCAGUGGCGAAGGCGGCUCACUGGCUCGAUACUGACGCUGAGGUGCGAAAGUGUGGGGAGCAAACAGGAUUAGAUACCCUGGUAGUCCACACCGUAAACGAUGAAUGCCAGUCGUCGGGUAGCAUGCUAUUCGGUGACACACCUAACGGAUUAAGCAUUCCGCCUGGGGAGUACGGCCGCAAGGUUAAAACUCAAAGGAAUUGACG